CCUUUUCUUCCGUUUCUCACCCGACCCAAGCCACGCCGCCCUUUCUUCUUCCCCAUCUCGCCGAUUCCCUUUCUCCCCUUCGCUUCCUCGCGCCACCAUCCGAAGCCCGCAAUGGCGUCGGCCGAUCGUCGGCCUCGCUCACCCCGCACCGCAGAGCCUCCCUCUCCCCUCUUGCGCUGACCCUUUUCCCUCUUUUGGCCGAUCGACGCCGAUUAUCCUCAGAUCAUCGGUGCACACUCGAGCACCGACCCGAGCCGAGUCCACCUUUUGGUCACAGGCGCAGAUCUGGCCAUCGCCUUCACAGCCCUAGCCGCGGACACCAGGAACUUGCCGGAAACCAAGCGCGUGAGUCGGUGACAGUAGGGUUCUUAAGUCUUUUGCCUUUCUUGUGAUUUCUCUGAUUCCUGCUUCUUUGUUUUGAUUGGUCACCGUUCUUCCGAUCGGUCGAGGCUGAAGCAGCUCGGCCUUGUCGUCGCCUCUUCCCUUUCAUUGUCGGCAUAGAUCUAUGUCAUUGUUGUUUCGAGGGUUGAGUCGUCAUUCUUGUAAGGUUUGAUAUGUGAUCUGAGUCCUAGACUCAACCUGCUGCCACUGGAUCUCUGCACAUCGCAACUCCGAUCACUGGAUUUUGGUUCCUCUUCGUCGCUGGUACAGAUUGGUUAUCGAUCCAUUGGGUGGGACAGAUUUCAUACACAGAAUUAGAUUUAGCUCUGGCCAGCACUGUUCACCGGCGAUCCACAGUGUCGGCCAUCUUGUUACAACUGUGAGCUCUUCAGACAUGAGCUACCAGCAACUCACUUGAGAUUGGAUUCGCAAGGGAAGGAGUUAGUG